ACACCUGCCUCGGCCUCCCAAAGUGUACUAAAUACAUUCUUUUUUAUUCUCUAUUCAAUUACAAUAUCUGCAGUUUUGUUGCUCUGGCUUAUCGUUUAUUAUCUGGCAACUUUUGCACAUUGUGGCUUAUUUAUUUGUGUGUAUUCUUUGAUUUUGUAUUAUGACCUGAUAUUCCUUGGAACUUUAUCAAACUUGGAAAUUCUUUGAGAACUAUGUAAAAAGUGUUUCCCUUUGAGGGGUGUUUUUAUUUGCUUUUGUUAGGUGCAUGGGAGCACUACCAAGCCAGAAUUGCUUAAAAUGAAAUUUUCUACUUGAGGUUUUUUUUUUUUUUUCUUGCCGCAUGGAUAGUGAGAAUUUCAGCCCAAAACAAUCAUGCUUCUCCACUUAAGAUUAGAAAUUAUCAAUGACUUUUUUUCCUCCCUGCUUUACUUAGGGCCAAAGCCAAAAACAGGCAUGUGUAGCCCCAUCAUUUACGUCUGCAAGGAGUUUGUUCUCCAGUUUAACCUCUGAAUGGGUCCUGGUUUUAUGUGAGUUCUAUGAUACAAUGUACCACGUGCAGGCCCCAGACUUUGUCUUCCAUCUCCUUCAUAAUGUAAUGUAGUCCAUGAGAAAGUGAUGUAGAUCACCAACACAAAUGAACACAUGCUUAUUCUGGUGGAUUUUCACUUUCCUGUCAUUUCUGGACUUCAGGGAAUUCCUUACUCUCUUAUAAAUGCAGCUGUGCAUUUAAAAAAUAUGUUUUGCAGAUUAUAUAGCAUUUUUCAUUGUGAUACACAGGCUUUUUGUUCUGUGUAUAUCUGGUCUACCAUAAUGCUUGUAAGGAAACACAUUUAAUCUUCUGUGAGGUAUAAUUUAUUAUUCCCAGGUUUUAUGUAGGAAUAUCUUAGGGUCACAGAGGUUAGGUGAUUUUUCCCAACACUGUAGAGAUACUAAGUGGUGGAGGUGAGGUUGAAAUAGGUCUAAACCCAAAGCCAAGGCACUUUUAAAAGAUUAAUAAAGUUUGUCGAAUGAUACUUGGACUAACUCCUGCCUGAAUUAAGCUAGAAAUUAAUAUAAGUUCUUUAAUUCAGUUAGGAAGAUCCCAAAUCAGAAACAAAUCAUAAUAAAAAUUGAGAUCAGGAAGCUUCCUGAGUGUAGCUCCUCAUAUCACUGUCCCACACAUAAGUACUGCCCCAUAUGGCAAUCGGGAGGCCCCAGGAAUGCUUGCUAGGGUCAGGCCCUGCUCCUCUAAGUUAGUUGAAAGCUCCCUCCCUACUCAGUGACUGCUCUCAUACUUCUUCACUGUAGCUGUUGGCUCUCAGAACAUGAUGCCCAAAGUAUAGCGCCUCGGUGUGCUGAGUACUUUGAACUGAAAGACAUUGGAAGGGCCUCCGAAGAAAGAUCUCUUUGACCUUCUCCUGCCCUCUUGUCUUUCAUGCUUCUUUCUCCCCUGGAGUGAACCAUGGAAACUAGAAUUCCUCUUCCGCAAGACAAUGAUAGAAACUAGAAGCCCUUUCCCCAAAGCAAGCCAUAAAACUUAGGAAGGUCACUCUCUCCCUUCUCCCUUCUCAUUUGAAGACCCUUAAUCCAGAGGAAUCCUGCCCCAUACUUGCAAAGAAGAAAUGCUACACAGAGAGUCCAAGAAGAAUUUGAACCCAGUCUAUUACCAUUAGAUCAUACUCUUGUCCAAACACAUCUCUACAGAGCUGCCCAUUCUUCAUGGAACCUAAGCACAAAAACAGUUUUCCCUGGAUCUUUGGGUCUUCAUUUCUGAAGGCUCUCAUAUCACAUAAAACUUUGAUUAAGUAAAUUUGUUAUGCUUUUCUCUUGUUAACUUGUCUUUUGUUAUAGGAGUGUCAGCCAUGACUCUUACAAUGAGUAAGGAGAGGUAUUACCUACCUCCUUUUACCCCUACAUGCUCUUGGAGCUGAUUAUCACAGUUUGUAAUUUUUCCACCUUCCAUUCCUGCUUCUGUGUAUUUUGAUAAAUUUUUGCAGGUCAGUAGACUUCCCAUGGCAGAAUAUUUCCUGCUUCUCACCAGCCCUUAAGCCAAUCCAAGGAAAACAAAAGAACAUCAUAAUGCUUUGUCAUAUGACAAGAUUACAAAAGCAGCAUCCAGUGGCAGAAUGCCCAACUGCUCCGGGACACAGCCAAUAGCUGACUUCAGUGCUCCCCAUCCCUGCUUGUCAGUGAUUAGUCUAAAUUGUUAUCACAAGCCCAGUCUGACCAAUGAAUGUGAGUGAGGGGCCAUUUUGAUUGUCAGCUCCUGAUUCUGCAGAAAACACGAAACUGAGCUGUACAAAGAUGCUGAUGAGGGGCUGCAGCAUGCAAUUCACUUCACCAGCAGUCACUAAGGUCUGAUCUCUUUUCUAACCAUACCUGGAAGAUGGAAUGCUGGACCCAGGACUUUUAGACUUGGACUGGGACUACACCAUCAACUUUCCUUGGUCUCCAGCUUGCAGACAACAGAUUAUGGGACUUGCCAGUCUCCAUAAUCAGAAGGCUUUGACAUAUCAAUGCACCAGGGAUCUUACCAAACUAAAUUUUAAGCACUUAUAGCUCAAGAUUCUCCCUCUGAGAUGAAACAUACUUCCACCCUGUCAUGUGUCAGCUUCAGAAGAUAUCAAUUGCUCAAGAAAGUGUUGGACAAGCAGAAAAGCACACUGAACAUUUCUGGACUUGUGAAAGAGCUCUGAAUAUGGAUCUCUCAGGGAUAUUCCAUCCCCACCAAUGCUUUACCAAUGCGAGAGCUGGCCAGGCUGAGACAUUUAAUGAUAACAUGGAACAAUUUAUUCAGGAAGAUAGUCAACUACUCAUGUGGCUUUAUGAUUAUAAAACCCACUGAAAAUUGGGUCCCUUGAUUCUCUUGAUUUUUCCUAAGCCUUACUCCCUAAAGUCUCCAAUUUGAUGAGGUAUUUGAUACUUGAUCUCUCCUUGAAGUAAAAUUUGGAGCAAAAUAUAUUGGACUGGAAGGCCUGAGACCUCGAUAAGAAGAAACAUGAACCCCAGAGCCACAGGUCAGGAGGUUUUCAUUAUAAUACUAUUGCCCUCUUAAAACAAAUACUCCAAUUGCCAAGGUUUCCUCACUUAAUAAUUUAUCUCAUAUGUGUUUUUGAAAGUUACUCUGAAUACUUCUUAUAUGUAUAAAUAAGUUAGUUAACAGUAAUUAAUGCAGAUAUUUAAAUAAAUACAAGCAGGCAGGUGGGAUGAUGACUACAGUCACUUGAUAAAGAACAGCUAGGUGGCCGGGCGCGGUGGCUCACACCUGUAAUCCCAGCAUUUUGGGAGGCUGAGGCGGGUGGAUCAUGAGGUCAAGAGUUCGAGACUAGCCUGGCCAACAUGAUGAAACCCCGCCUGUACUAAAAACACAAAAAUUAGCCGGGCGUGGUGGCAGGCGCCUGUAAUCCCAGCUACUCGGGAAGCCGAGGCAGAAUUGCUUGAAACCGGAAGGCGGAGGUUGCAGUGAGCCAAGAUCGGGCCACUACACUCCAGCCUGGGCGAAAGAGCAAAACUCCGUCUCAAAAAAAAAAAA
rnacentral:lncRNA from 1 species